ACACAAUUUCGAUGAUACAUCACAGAAGGCCAAGGAAAAGCAUGCUGAUGAUAUUUCAGUAAACCCAAAAAAGUUGUUCAUGGCAGUACCAGCAUUUUUUAUUCUAUGCUGUGGCUUAAUUUGCCCUUGUUUUCGAUCAAGGAAGAAGGAAACGGACCAAUCCGCUCUUGUGAAGGAUCCUAAUUCAAUGGACUCUGCGUCUUCUUUGGAGAUGAAUUUUGUUCCUGAAAAAGCACCAGGCAGUCCAGUACGAGUGCCAGCUAGUCCACUUCGAGUGCCUCCUAGUCCCUCUAGAUUUAGCAUGUCUCCGAAACUCAAUAGAAUUGGCUCUAUUCACCUCAACAUGAAUCAGGCUCUCAAAGCUACCCAAAAUUUCUCUUCAUCCCUAAAGAUUGGAGAGGGAGGGUUUGGAAUGGUCUACAAAGCUCAACUACCAGAUGGCCAAACAGUUGCCAUUAAACGCGCAAAGAAGGAGCAUUUUGAUGCUUUGAGCAAUGAAUUUAGAAGUGAAGUUGAGCUUUUGGCAAAAAUUGAGCACCGAAACUUAGUCAGGCUUCUUGGUUUUGUUGAUAAGGGAAAUGAACGCCUCAUCAUUACGGAAUACGUAGCUAAUGGUACACUACGUGAACAUCUAGAUGGUGGACGUGGAAAAAUCUUAGAUUUCAAUCAGCGACUUGAAAUUGCAAUUGACAUUGCUCAUGGCCUAACUUACCUCCAUCUAUAUGCUGAAAAGCAAAUUAUCCAUAGAGAUGUGAAGUCAUCAAACAUUCUCCUGACAGAGAGCAUGCAUGCCAAGGUUGCAGAUUUUGGAUUUGCCAGGCUUGGAGGCUCAGACGCGGAUAAAACACAUGUUUCAACCCAAGUGAAAGGCACAGUUGGUUACCUUGACCCUGAGUACAUGAAAACAUAUCAACUCACACCAAAAAGUGAUGUCUACUCAUUUGGGGUAUUGUUAUUAGAAAUACUAACAGGUCGUCGUCCUGUGGAGCUUAGAAGACCUCCUGAUGAGAGGGUGACACUUAGAUGGGUUUUUAGGAAGUACAACGAAGGUAGCGUAUUUGAGAUGUUGGACCCUCUAAUGAAGGAAUCCGUAAAUGGGGAGAUACUAGUGAAAAUGUUUGGUUUAGCCAUUCAGUGUGCAGCACCUACACGAAAAGAUCGCCCAGAUAUGAAGAUCGUUGGGGAGCAGCUUUGGGCAAUUAGAAUGGAUUAUUUGAGGAACGGAAGGAGACAGUAAUAUACUGUGCAUAUACACUGUCUUCUUGCCGAUUUGACAGAAAUGACAGCCAGGAUUCGAGAUCGCGGUCCAUCUAAGUUUAUUUCUCCUAGAAAAAAGAAAAAGAGAUUCAAAGAUGUUAAUCUUCCACUUAUUGUUUGUAUUUUGUUGUUGUAUAUGUGAGCAGUUAUAAGGUACUUCUCUUCUUGAUGUUUUGAUUCAUUGAUCUACAAGUGAGUAAUAGGAAGACACCUUUUUGUUUUUUUGUAAAUGCCAGAGAAUCUGAAACUUUCAUACAGAUUUCUUGUGGG
rnacentral:misc_RNA from 1 species